rnacentral:snRNA from 1 species
GUGCUCACUUUGGAAGCACAUAUACUAAAAUUGGAACGAUACAGAGUAGAUUGGCAUGGGCCCUG